UCCCUGGUGGCUCAGCUGGUAGAGAAUCCGCCUCUAAUGUGGGAGACCUGGGUUCGAUCCCCGGGCGGGGAA
rnacentral:tRNA from 1 species